AUGACCUUUCUUAGGCAUCGCAAAGACAAUGAUAUAGGAGAAUGGUUGAGUUUAGGAUUCAAACAAGACACGCCUCUUUAUAACAAGGUAUUCCCAUGCAAAUUCUGCAUGAGAAAGUUUUACAGUUCACAAGCCUUAGGGGGUCACCAGAAUGCACACAAAAGGGAAAGAGAAGCAGCUAGUUACCAAUUAUCUCAUAGGAUGAUGUCAUCAUCUUCAUCAAUGGAACUUGGUUAUUCUAAUUCUUUGACACCAAAGUCACUAGGAAUCAAAUCUCACUCACUUGUGCACAAACCGAACAGAGAAAGAGCUAUGGCGGCUCGAUUUGAAUGGCAUGGAAGCUUUCGAAUGAACUUACCAAAGGAAGAAUCACAUAUCCAAAAGCUUGACUUAGAACUUAGGCUUUGA